UCAGGACGAACGCUGGCGGCGUGCUUAACACAUGCAAGUCGAACGGAGAAUUUAUUUCGGUAAAUUCUUAGUGGCGAACGGGUGAGUAACGCGUAGGCAACCUGCCCUCCAGUUGGGGACAACAUUCCGAAAGGAAUGCUAAUACCGAAUGUGAUCCUUCUUCCGCAUGGAAGAAGGAUGAAAGAUGGCCUCUAUUUAUAAGCUAUCGCUGGAAGAUGGGCCUGCGUCUGAUUAGCUAGUUGGUGGGGUAACGGCUCACCAAGGCGAUGAUCAGUAGCCGGUCUGAGAGGAUGAACGGCCACAUUGGGACUGAGACACGGCCCAAACUCCUACGGGAGGCAGCAGUGGGGAAUCUUCCGCAAUGGACGAAAGUCUGACGGAGCAACGCCGCGUGAGUGAUGAAGGUCUUCGGAUUGUAAAACUCUGUUGUCAGGGACGAAUGUGCGAACGUUGAAUAAGCGUUUGUAUUGACGGUACCUGACGAGGAAGCCACGGCUAACUACGUGCCAGCA
rnacentral:rRNA from 1 species